UACAGAGGGUGCAAGCGUUAAUCGGACUUACUGGGCGUAAAGCGUGCGUAGACGGUUAUUUAAGUCAGGUGUGAAAGCCCCGGGCUCAACCUGGGAAUUGCAUUUGAGACUGAAUAGCUAGGGUGCGGAAGAGGGAAGCGGAAUUUCCGGUGUAGCGGUGAAAUGCGUAGAUAUCGGAAGGAACACCAGUGGCGAAAGCGGCUUCCUGGUCCAGCACCGACGUUCAGGCACGAAAGCGUGGGGAGCAAACAGG
rnacentral:rRNA from 1 species